AAUUCAAUCCGGGCAAUUGCUUCCUGAUUUAUCGGGAGGAGGAAAGUCCGAACUUCACAGAACAAGGUGCCGGGUAACUCCCGGGAGCUAAUGGAGAAAUCUAUUAUCGACUGACAGUGCCACAGAAAAUAAACUUCUCCGAUAAUAUCGGAGUAAAGGUGAAAAGGCGAGGUAAGAGCUCACCGGCCUGAUAGUAAUAUCGGGUGCAUGGCAAACCACACCUGAAGCAAGGUCAAGUAAGAAAAUCUUCCCGAUCUGAUCGGGACAAAGUUGUUCGCUUUGUAUCAAUGCUUAAUUGCAGGUUAGAUUUUCGGGUAGACCGCUAGAGUCUGUUGGUAACAACAGAAAUAGAUAAAUAAUUGCCGUCCCGGCUUCGUCGGGGUUACAGAAUUCGGCUUACAGGAUUGAACUUUUA
rnacentral:RNase_P_RNA from 1 species